rnacentral:rRNA from 1 species
AGUGGCGCACGGGUGCGUAACGCGUAUGCACCUACCUUAAUCAGGGGGAUAGCCUCUCGAAAGAGAGAUUAACACCGCAUAAACUGGCAUCAGCAAAUAUUUAUAGGAUUAAGAUGGGCAUGCGUGACAUUAGUUUGUUGGUGAGGUAACGGCUCACCAAGACUACAAUGUCUAGGGGAUCUGAGAGGAUGACCCCCCACACUGGUACUGAGACACGGACCACACUCCUACGGGAGGCAGCAGUAAGGAAUAUUGGUCAAUGGGGGCAACCCUGAACCAGCCAUGCCGCGUGCAUGAAGACGGCCUACGGGUUGUAAACUGCUUUUAUACGGGAAUAAACCUCUUUACGUGUAGAGAGUUGAAUGUACUGUAAGAAUAAGGAUCGGCUAACUCCGUGCCAGCAGCCGCGGUAAUACGGAGGAUCCAAGCGUUAUCCGGAUUUAUUGGGUUUAAAGGGUGCGUAGGCGGCCUAUUAAGUCAUGGGUGAGAGACGGUGGCUCAACCAUCGCAGUGCCUUUGAUACUGAUGGGCUUGAUUACACUUGAGGUAGGCGGAAUGUGACAAGUAGCGGUGACAUGCAUAUAUAUGUCACAGAACACUAAUUGCGAAGGCAGCUUACUAAGGUGUUAAUGACGCUGAGGCACGAAAGCGUGGGGAUCAAACAGAAUUAGAUACCUUGCUAGUCCACGCCCA